CAAUGAAGGAAGCAUGGUAAUGUGCACAGAAAUUGAAUUGGGUCUCUUGGCCUGCUCUCUUUGAUGCCAUUUGAUUUUGAUUUGGGGGUAUGGUUCGCAGCAAAAUAG